UAGUAUCAGCGUGUCAGCCGCCGCGGUAAUACGUAGGUGGCAAGCGUUGUCCGGAAUUAUUGGGCGUAAAGCGCGCGCAGGCGGUCCUUUAAGUCUGAUGUGAAAGCCCACGGCUCAACCGUGGAGGGUCAUUGGAAACUGGGGGACUUGAGUACAGAAGAGAAGAGUGGAAUUCCACGUGUAGCGGUGAAAUGCGUAGAGAUGUGGAGGAACACCAGUGGCGAAGGCGACUCUUUGGUCUGUAACUGACGCUGAGGCGCGAAAGCGUGGGGAGCAAACAGGAUUAGAUACCCUGGUAGUCCACGCUGUAAACGAUGAGUGCUAAGUGUUAGAGGG
rnacentral:rRNA from 1 species